GCCUGGGUGGCUCAGUCGGUUAAGCGUCUGACUUCAGCUCAGGUCAUGAUCUUAUGAUUUGUGAGUUCAAGUCCUGUAUCAGGCU
rfam:Felis catus isolate Cinnamon breed Abyssinian chromosome D4, whole genome shotgun sequence.